rnacentral:miRNA from 1 species
GACGUUGGACCGGCAGCCGGC